rnacentral:piRNA from 1 species
UGCUGGAAAAUGGUGGUCAUCUAUCCUGU